UACGGAGGGUGCAAGCGUUAUCCGGAUUCACUGGGUUUAAAGGGUGCGUAGGUGGGCAAGUAAGUCAGUGGUGAAAUCUCCGGGCUUAACCCGGAAACUGCCAUUGAUACUAUUUGUCUUGAAUACUGUGGAGGUCAGCGGAAUAUGUCAUGUAGCGGUGAAAUGCUUAGAUAUGACAUAGAACACCAAUUGCGAAGGCAGCUGGCUACACAAAUAUUGACACUGAGGCACGAAAGCGUGGGGAUCAAACGGG
rnacentral:rRNA from 1 species